GAUCGCCCAAUCGGGGGUCGACAAGUCCAGGAGGCGCCCUGUGCUCUUGGCGUCUCCUUGUAUCCAUGUUGCUUGUAAGGAGGAUAUGGUUAUGAGGA
rnacentral:sRNA from 1 species